CCUACGGGUGGCAGCAGUGAGGAAUAUUGGUCAAUGGCCGAGAGGCUGAACCAGCCAAGUCGCGUGAGGGAAGACUGCCCUACGGGUUGUAAACCUCUUUUGUCGAGGAGCAAAGAGAGUCACGUGUGACUCAUUGAGUGUACCCGAAGAAAAAGCAUCGGCUAACUCCGUGCCAGCAGCCGCGGUAAUACGGAGGAUGCGAGCGUUAUCCUGAUUUAUUGGGUUUAAAGGGUGGGCAGGCGGUGGUGAAAGUCAGUGGUCAAAUUGGGGGGCUCAACCCCGUACUGCCGUUGAAACUGGAUGCCUUGAGUGCGGGAGAGGUAUGCGGAAUGCGUGGUGUAGCGGUGAAAUGCAUAGAUAUCACGCAGAACUCCGAUUGCGAAGGCAGCAUACCGGCGCGCAACUGACGCUCAUGCACGAAAGCGUGGGUAUCGAACAGGAUUAGAUACCCGGGUAGUC
rnacentral:rRNA from 1 species